UACGAGGGGGGCGAGCGUGUUCGGAAUUAUUGGGCGUAAAGGGCGCGUAGGCGGUCGGAUAAGUCUUGUGUGAAAUCUUCGGGCUCAACUCGAAGUCUGCACAGGAAACUAUCUGGCUUGAGUGUGGGAGAGGUGAGUGGAAUUCCUGGUGUAGCGGUGAAAUGCGUAGAUAUCAGGAGGAACACCUGUGGCGAAAGCGGCUCACUGGCCACAACUGACGCUGAGGCGCGAAAGCUAGGGGAGCAAACAGG
rnacentral:rRNA from 1 species